CUCCUUUGUGCAGUGUACCCAGCAUGGUUAGUUUGGAGGAAACAAAGCUGUACAUUGGUGUCGACUAUGAUGAGUCCAGAGAGAACUACCGUGAGGCCAUCUGUAAAGUGAUGAGACAGUUGCUUCAUUACAUUCUGGAACACUCAGAGGAUGACACCAAAUCCCUUUUCGCCAUUAUCAAG